rnacentral:rRNA from 1 species
GGCGCACGGGUGAGUAACGCGUGGAUAAUCUACCUCUAUCUGGGGGAUAAGCCACCGAAAGGUGGUCUAAUACCGCAUAUUCCGGCAGUUUUGCGAAUCAGUCGGUAAAGGUGGCCUCUUCUUGAAAGCUACCGGGUGGAGAUGAGUCCGCGUCCCAUUAGCUAGUUGGUAGGGUAAUGGCCUACCAAGGCGACGAUGGGUAGCUGGUCUGAGAGGACGAUCAGCCACACUGGAACUGGAACACGGUCCAGACUCCUACGGGAGGCAGCAGUGGGGAAUAUUGCGCAAUGGGGGAAACCCUGACGCAGCGAUGCCGCGUGAGUGAAGAAGGCCUUCGGGUCGUAAAGCUCUGUCAAGUGGGAAGAACAGUUUGGGGAUGAAUAAUCCUCAGGCCUGACGGUACCACUGAAGGAAGCACCGGCUAACUCCGUGCCAGCAGCCGCGGUAAGACGGAGGGUGCGAGCGUUAUUCGGAUUUAUUGGGCGUAAAGAGCGUGUAGGCGGCCGGUCAAGCCAGAUGUGAAAGCCCAGGGCUUAACCCUGGAAGUGCAUUUGGAACUGGUUGGCUUGAGUUC